rnacentral:sRNA from 1 species
CUUCCUGCCAUGAUGAUAAUGGACCGAACCUCUGAACCUGUCACAAAAGGAGGGAUUUCCUGCUCCCAAGAGACCUACAAUAUAGGAGGAAUUGGUACUAAAGAGGGAAUAGAAGUCACGGUUGCAAGACAGGCAAGGUGGCAGUGACAGCUAUAAUACCAGCAGGUGGGCGCUAAGGCAGGAGGAUCAUCACGUGCUUAAGGCCAUCAAGACCCUGUCUCACAACUACGAAUCAGUACUACCCUGUCGGGAAGGAAGAACUGCCCUACUGUUUUCAAAACAGAGUGAAGAGACAGAGAUGGUUGAAAAGGCCUCUCUUUCUUUGUUUCUUUGAUUCUUUGUUUCUUUCUUUCUUUGUUCCUUUGUUUCUUUGAUCCUUUGACUCUUUCUUUCUUUCUUUCUUUCUUUCUUUCUUUCUUUCUUUCUUUCUUUCUUUCUUUCUUUCUGUAGUCUAUUUAUCUUACUCAUUACACUGGGAUGAAUUGAGCCAGACAUAGCAUUAGGGCGAUUGCCACCACAGACUUGUUUUCCAGGAGGGAAGGGAUUUUUCCUCUGGGGCGUGUGUUCUGAAGACUCAAGAGCAUGGGCGUGAGAAGUCCUGGGGCAGAGAUUAUGGUCAAGUCCCUGAGGUGGCAGGAGGCGCUACAGUCAUGAACCAGCCAGAAAGGCGCCUGGGCCUUUGUACAAGGAGAAGGGAGGGAGGGAGGGAAAGGGUUAGGCAACAAGCAGAUCUCCAUGAGGUUUGGUGAGAAACUUGGAAAGAUUCGGGUCCGUUGAGACAUCACUGAGAGGUUCUGUGUAGAGACACAGCAUUUUAAAAUCACUCUGAACAAUGCGUGCUAGCUCUAAUCUGUAAUCCUCAGGAAGAUUGCUGUGGGUCUGAGGGCAGCCUGGGCUAUGGAGUGAAUUCCAGACCAGAGCAGGCAACAAAAGUGUGGGGAUAAGGGGCUGCUUCUGACUUUCCGCAGCAGCUGACCGUGCUCUGUCUGCCUCGUGCUCUAGCAGAGGCGUGGUUUUGCCAGCUGCAGGAAGUUUCUGCGAUUGUGCGAUGUCUGGAACUCUGAGAACUUCUUAGAGGGUACGUAAGUACGAGGACUCAAAGCGAUUGGGUGGGUGGUUGUCAGGCAUUUAGGGAAGUUGGUUGUGGUUUAUUAGCAGCUAAGGUCAAAGAAGAAAGGAAAGGAAAGAAAUUGGAUUCAGAGCUCUCUUUCCCCUCUAUCCUUGUUUCUCUCCUACCUAAUGUCAGGGGGUGAAAUGGGGGGAAGGGAGUAAAGGGUGGAAAAAAGAAUCCACAAAAUAGCAAAGACCAACUACACAUGUGCAUCCAGAACCAACAAACAGGGGUCUUCUCAGCUGUCUCUGGAGCUUCCUCCCUGUUGUCGAUGCACCCCACUCAGCUGCCUUUCCACUCACCUGUUCCCUCUCUGGCCUUGAACCUAGACCUGAACCCACUCUUGCUACUCCCAGACACCAGUGCUGAACUCUUCCUCUCAGCUGAACUCUGCGGCUUUGCUCUCUUUACUCCAGCAGCUCCUCCCUCCAGGCACUGGUCUGGUUCCUAUCUUACGACAGACUCAUCCUCGGUCUACCUCGGAGACCCUCGACCUCUUCUGCAGCCUUUGUAACUUGUACUCCUUCUGUGACCCAUAGGAGUGCAUAUAGAUAUGUAGCUGUACUUAAUGUGUGUUUGCAGUGUGUGAUAUGAGAGUUCAUAUGAAUUAAGACAGGCAAAAAAAAGAACCCGCGUUGGCCUUGACCAGGUUACCAUGGGAGGUGGGAUUGCAUAACAGAUUUCUGUCAUUAAAACUGCUCAACUUAGCUGGGUAGUGGUAGCGCAUGCCUUUAAUCUCAGCACCUGGGAGGCAGAGGCAAGCUAGUCUCUGAGUUCGAGGCC